UACGUAGGGGGCUAGCGUUGUCCGGAAUCAUUGGGCGUAAAGCGCGCGUAGGCGGCCCGGUAAGUCCGCUGUAAAAGUCAAAGGCUCAACCUUUGAGUGUCAGUGGAUACUGCCAGGCUAGAGUCCGGAAGAGGCGAGUGGAACUCCUGGUGUAGCGGUGGAAUGCGCAGAUAUCAGGAAGAACACCGACGGCGAAGGCGGAUCUCUGGGCCAUUACUGACGCUGAGGAGCGAAAGCGUGGGGAGCGAACAGG
rnacentral:rRNA from 1 species